AGGAGCUUCUGUGUGAUGGAAUCCAAGUCCAGCCCUUCAGAAACCAGCCAUGUCACCCGAUGAAGCUGAAGGGCAGCUGAAAGAAAGGACAUCUUCUAGAAUUAGCUACCGCAAGACGUGCCAGUGGCCACCAACUUGGAUGGACUGAAGGGCGGCCUGCACAAGGACUCUGGAGAAGGGGAUGCCAAGGGCUGCUCGUCUAGAAGGCUCUAUGUGACUUCCAGUUACGGAGAAUGUGUCUUUUUCUCAGUGCACUUGGAAUGGACCAGAACGGAAGUCACAAACAAUCAUAGAAAACAAGAGACACCCCACCCCUUCCACAGCGAACAACGAACUCAACCGAAAAACAAAAAUGAAAAACUUCAAACGAAGCCCAGUGGUCGGGUUUUUUCUUCUUUUUUCUAAAAUCCAUGAUUAAAACCUGGUACAAACAGGUGAAUAUAUAGAUAUAUAUAUCUCUUUUAGUAGAUGUAAUAUUUUUCCUCUCUCUUUCUCUCUUUCUCAUUAUACAGCAAACAUUUGCAAAUAUAGAAUUUCUUUUCUCUCUGUACAAUAGAAUGGCAUCAGUUUUACAAUGUGAUGUUGCGACAGACCCUUUCCAUCCCCCCAAAAACGCACACAUGAGACUUCAGACCCCCAAUCGUCUAAACUGGAAGACUCCGUUUGCAAAAGGCCCAAAGAGUUGCCUCUUUUAUUUCGGCUAACUUCUUCUGAUUUACCCUUUUCAUGUUUUUACUUUUUGGUUACAGAAAGGAAGAGAACAAAACUGUACAGGGU
rnacentral:lncRNA from 1 species